AACGAACGCUGGCGGCGUGCUUAACACAUGCAAGUCGAACGCGAAAGGGACUUCGGUCCUGAGUAAAGUGGCGCACGGGUGAGUAACGCGUAGAUAACCUGUCUUUAUGUCUGGAAUAAUACGCCGAAAGGGGUACUAAUACCGGAUAUUUUUGCAUCGCACAAGUGAUGUAAACAAAGGUGGCCUCUGACAUAAGCUACUGCAUAAAGAGGGGUCUGCGUACCAUUAGCUAGUAGGUGGGGUAAAGGCCUACCUAGGCUACGAUGGUUAGCGGGUCUGAGAGGAUGAUCCGCCACACUGGCACUGGAACACGGGCCAGACUCCUACGGGAGGCAGCAGUGAGGAAUAUUGCGCAAUGGGGGCAACCCUGACGCAGCGACGCCGCGUGAGUGAGGAAGGCCUUCGGGUCGUAAGACUCUGUC
rnacentral:rRNA from 1 species